rnacentral:rRNA from 1 species
GAUGAACGCUGGCGGCGUGCCUAAUACAUGCAAGUCGAGCGAACAGACGAGGAGCUUGCUCCUCUGACGUUAGCGGCGGACGGGUGAGUAACGCGUGGAUAACCUACCUAUAAGACUGGGAUAACUUCGGGAAACCGGAGCUAAUACCGGAUAAUAUAUUGAACCGCAUGGUUCAAUAGUGAAAGACGGUUUUGCUGUCACUUAUAGAUGGAUCCGCGCCGCAUUAGCUAGUUGGUAAGGUAACGGCUUACCAAGGCAACGAUGCGUAGCCGACCUGAGAGGGUGAUCGGCCACACUGGAACUGAGACACGGUCCAGACUCCUACGGGAGGCAGCAGUAGGGAAUCUUCCGCAAUGGGCGAAAGCCUGACGGAGCAACGCCGCGUGAAUGAUGAAGGUCUUCGGAUCGUAAAACUCUGUUAUUAGGGAAGAACAAAUGUGUAAGUAACUAUGCACGUCUUGACGGUACCUAAUCAGAAAGCCACGGCUAACUACGUG